AAGACUAUACUUUCAGGGAUCAUUUCUAAAGAACUUGUCUUGAGAAAUGUGUUUCCAAAGUGUAAGGUCUUGCUAACCAUGAUGAUGAGAUUAGAUGUUUCUUCCUGAACAUGAAGCUGACAUUGACUAAUGAUUUUGUCAUGUGAUCCAAGAUGGCGGCGCCCGGACGGGCUGCGCUCUCGAGGAGAUCCUGCUAAAGAUGGAACAUUUGGC